rnacentral:rRNA from 1 species
UACGUAGGGGGCAAGCGUUGUCCGGAUUUAUUGGGCGUAAAGAGCUCGUAGGCGGUGCGUCGCGUCGGCCGUGAAAACCUGCAGCUUAACUGUGGGCUUGCGGUCGAUACGGGCAUCACUGGAGUUCGGCAGGGGAGACUGGAAUUCCUGGUGUAGCGGUGAAAUGCGCAGAUAUCAGGAGGAACACCGGUGGCGAAGGCGGGUCUCUGGGCCGAUACUGACGCUGAGGAGCGAAAGCGUGGGGAGCGAACAGG